AAACAAAUGCACAAUAGUCAACAUUUCUUAUUACAUCCACAUUAAAAGGGGACAACAUGCGUUGCCCUCCUCUGGCAACACGGGGGAAAACCCUAGCCGCGUCGCCGGGACUACUUCCACCUCCUCCCUCGCCGCGCCACCACCGGAGGGUGCGCCGGCGAAGCCGUGCGUGCCCUAGGAGGGUGGCGGUGGGGCGUUUCCUUUCCUUUCGAUUCUCCCGGUGGACGUGGGCGGAUCUCGCGGCGGUUGGUGGAUCCGGUUGUGCGCAGCGGUGUGGCGGUCCGGCGUCAGACGGCUCACGGGGAGGCGCCCUUCUCGGUGGCUGGGCCGGCGCUGGGUGGUGGCCGCACGGCGGCAUGGAGAGGGCCUAAUCUGGGCUGCUGGAUCCGGCAUCAGAUUCUGCGCGGGGCGCGUCGAUGCUGCCCCUGGCCGUGGCGCGGUGCCUGGCUUCCCCCUGCUCCGGACGCGUGCUGGUGGCGCCUUGGCCUGUCUCGAGCGGCAUGUUCCAGUCCGCGUGGUGGUUGGAGGUGGAUGUGGUGAGGUGGAAGUGGGUCGGCAUGGAAGGCAGGGCGUCGGCGCCACCAGGUCCGGCGUGGAUAGCUCUGGCUCUGCCCUAGCGUGCCUAGUGCGUGCUAUCGUCCUCCGGCGAGGUGGAGGUGGUGGGGGCUUGAUCCAAUCCGAGCGGAUCUGGCCGGCUUGGUGAUGGAGGCUACUGUGAUGCGAACUGCUACUCUUCCUGGUGCGGUGGUUGACCCGCUCGCGCAACUCCGAUGGGUGUUGGGUUCCAUGAUCUUGGUCAGGAGAAAUCCAUGCUUCGAAGAGGCCGACGAUAGUGACGCUCGUGGGCACCGUUCCUUCCCUGGAGGCGUUGUUUUGGCCCUGAUCUGGCUCCCUUCCUCGGGCUUAAGGGAAACCUUUGGUCCGUCCACCGGACCAGGCGGCGACGACGUCAUAGCGUCGUUUUUUUUUGAAGGCGUCGUCUUGUUGCUCGAGGAGUCUCAAUGGUGGGCUUCUAGGAUGUUUUCGUUAGAAAAAUGACAAAGAUUUUCAUGGGGGCGAUGGGUAUAUUCACCACCGAUUAUUUGUUUGUGAAGGAAUCAACAACAACGGGUGACUGUGGGUGUGUAUGGAGCUGUUUGGAUUCGGCCCUGCUAGCCCGCCAAAUCAUUGGCCAAAGUUUUGGCUGCUUGUCACCGAAUUACUAGCAUGAAAGUGAAUUGCAGCCACCGAUAUAACCUUGGCAAGCUGAAUAAUGCGCUCCCAUCCAAACAAAUGCACGAUAGUCAACAUUUCUUAUUUCAUCUGCAUUAAAAGGGGACAACAUGUAUGUCAUCUUCUUUAAGAGGUUAACAAAAUGGCAGGCCGAAUUAUGUUUAUAAAUUACUAGCAAAAGAGUCCGUGCGUUGCAACGGGAGAGAAAACAUAACACACGCUCUUAACUCAACAACC
rnacentral:rRNA from 1 species